rnacentral:rRNA from 1 species
AUACGAAGGGGGCUAGCGUUGUUCGGAAUUACUGGGCGUAAAGCGCAUGUAGGCGGACAUUUAAGUCAGGGGUGAAAUCCCGGGGCUCAACCUCGGAACUGCCCCCUUUGAUACUGGGUGUCUAGAGUGUGGAAGAGGUAAGUGGAAUUCCGAGUGUAGAGGUGAAAUUCGUAGAUAUUCGGAGGAACACCAGUGGCGAAGGCGGCUUACUGGUCCAUUACUGACGCUGAGGUGCGAAAGCGUGGGGAGC